CCUACGGGUGGCUGCAGUGGGGAAUAUUGGGCAAUGGGCGCAAGCCUGACCCAGCAACGCCGCGUGAAGGAAGAAGGCUUUCGGGUUGUAAACUUCUUUUGUCAGGGAAGAGUAGAAGACGGUACCUGACGAAUAAGCCACGGCUAACUACGUGCCAGCAGCCGCGGUAAUACGUAGGUGGCAAGCGUUGUCCGGAUUUACUGGGUGUAAAGGGCGUGUAGCCGGGUUGACAAGUCAGAUGUGAAAUCCUGCGGCUUAACCGCAGAACUGCAUUUGAAACUGUUGAUCUUGAGUACUGGAGAGGCAGACGGAAUGCCUGGUGUAGCGGUGAAAUGCAUAGAUAUCACGCAGAACUCCGAUUGCGAAGGCAGCAUACCGGCGCCCAACUGACGCUGAAGCACGAAAGCGUGGGUAUCGAACAGGAUUAGAUACCCGUGUAGUC
rnacentral:rRNA from 1 species